rnacentral:rRNA from 1 species
UGGGGAAUAUUGCACAAUGGGCGCAAGCCUGAUGCAGCCAUGCCGCGUGUAUGAAGAAGGCCUUCGGGUUGUAAAGUACUUUCAGGCGGGAGGAAGGUGGUAAGGUUAAUAACCUUGGCAAUUGACGUUACCGACAGAAGAAGCACCGGCUAACUCCGUGCCAGCAGCCGCGGUAAUACGGAGGGUGCAAGCGUUAAUCGGAAUUACUGGGCGUAAAGCGCACGCAGGCGGUUGAUUGAGUCAGAUGUGAAAUCCCCGGGCUUAACCCGGGAAUUGCAUCUGAUACUGGUCAGCUAGAGUCUUGUAGAGGGGGGUAGAAUUCCAUGUGUAGCGGUGAAAUGCGUAGAGAUGUGGAGGAAUACCGGUGGCGAAGGCGGCCCCCUGGACAAAGACUGACGCUCAGGUGCGAAAGCGUGGGGAGCAAACAGG